UGUACAUGCUCCUUCACUCUGGAUCCAGGACCAAAUGUCUCCUUCUCCAGGAGGCCCCCCGGGAUCACAUCUCGUCCCAACAGUGGUUUCACUGCCUUCCCAGCACUUAGCAGCACAACUAGGCAUCGUGUGUGCUUUUCAAGGAAAUUUAUUGUUUUCUCCUGCACGCUUCUGCCCCCAGGAUCUAGAGCAGGUCUGGCGCUGGGGAGUCUCUCAAUCUUUGUUCCUCUGAGUAAAUGCAAUCACUUGAGCUCCGCCACGUACUUUUUAAGCAGUUUGCUUUAGACCGGGUCCAAAAAGAUGCCCAACGUGUACUUGAUGAGGAAACCGAAGCACAGAAAGAUGAAGUCAAAUGGACCCCUCUGAAAACGCAAGGCGUUCAUAAGAAAAAGGAAGUCCAAGCCCUCUCCGCCUCUGAAAUUCCAAGAAAGGAUCCACUUCGGAGAAAGGGGACCAAAACAGACAGGAAACGCCGGGGCAAUCAGGAACCGAUUCAGCAGCAACAACAACAACAAAAACACACCAGAGACAAAGAAAUCUCAGACGCGGGCGGAUCUGACCGCAACUCAACUCCCGGGAGCUCUCGGGCCACCAGGCUCCCUCGCAGCAUAGAGCAGGCGCUCAAAAGUAAUUUGGUGACUGUUGAACGGGAAAUGGCCGAAUGAGUCAACUGCAAGGAUGCCCAGAUCGCUAAUGUUCAAGUCAAAGAAAUUAGGAAAACUGAAUUGCAACGAGGAUGCAGGAAAACUGCAGCCUGGUGGAGGUCCCCAGGUUACAAAAAGGAGGCUACAGCGAUUGGCAAGUAAAGUGAAAGUGGCCGUGGCCCAGAGGAGCUGCCCGCAGGCCAGGCUGGGCCUAAACUAGCCUAAACUACGAGGUGCUCCUCCCCCUUGUAGGAAUCCACAGCAGAGGACCUAAAGCCCCCAGGCUGAUGCGGUGGCCGGGCUUCGCAAAUAAAAACACAGCGUGCCCAGUUACAUUUGAAUUUCAAAUAAAUGAACAAUUUUCUAGUUUAAGUACGUCCUGGGUUUAAUCUGGCAUCCCGAAGGUUCUGGCCCCAUGAACCCCUCCCCAGCACUGUCUGCUCUCAGUUAACUUUCUGUUUGGGAGUCCUGAGCCUUGGAAGGGAGACUCGACCCCUCCAUGGUGUUUCCACCUCUGCGUAAGGGAAUGAACAGCACAAGCUGCAUACGGUGGGGUAGACGCUCCAGCUCUUACAACCCAGUACAAGUGCCAUAAGGAAACACCAGUAAAGGGGGGGCUCAGUCUGUUUAGUGUCCGACUUCAUCUCAGGUCA